AUCAGGUAAGCGUCCGUGAUCAAGAUCAUAACUUCAAAAUCACAUCAUGUCACACACGUGAAACAUAACCUCUUUCACGCCCCCAAAUUGCUGCAAUUAAUUAGUUAUUAAUCUUCUUUUUUGCGCCAUUUUUCUCGAUCAUGUUUAUGCACCAUUCUCUACCUUCGAUCUAAACUCCAAAAUCAUCCCCAACCGUUCAUCUUAAACUCAACCAUAAUUCAUCUCUCUUAUUCUGCGCAUAAACAGGUUUUUUUUAUAAGGAAUUAGGGAUUUGUGAUGGAUAAUGAGGGAGAAAAGAAGAUGUUGGAUGUUGGGGUGAAUGAAGAGAGUGUUGGGAACUAUAAUGAGUUGAAAAAUUUGGAAGGAAAUGAGGUUUUCGAGGAGGCUUUAGACCCGGUUAAACAUUUCAAUGAUCAGGUUGAUGCUAUUGUUGGUCAAGGCGAUGUUGCUGAUACUGUUGCUGCAUUGCCUUUGGUUUUUGUUGAUGAAAUUCAUGAUAACGCAGAUGAACUUGAUAACUUUCAUGAGGCAAUUGAGGGUGCUGAUGCGCGCGUCGAAAAUUUGAAGGAUGAAAAGGAAGUUGAAGUGAUUGCUAGUGAUUUUAGUGGUGGAAAGGAAAUUGCUGAUUUAAACAAGGAUGGAAGCAUGGUUUUUCGGGAGGCUAGAGACUUGGUGAAUGGAAACUCUGGUUUAUUGAGUUGGAAGGAUGAAAAUGAGGAUCUUGAAUUCAUGACUCCCAAACAAGAUGGUGGUAUGCUAUUCCGAAACAGGAGCACAGACAAGGUGGAUUAUGAUGUUGCUGAGUUUCAUACGGAAUAUGGAUCCCAUGAGGAUAUGAGAAACCAGGGUGCUGAUGCCGGGUAUUUGAGAGAGGGUGGUUUGGAUCUCAAUCUCAUGGAUGACAAAAUAGAGGAACAGUGUAAUGCUUCCGGUGACCCUUAUGGUGAAAUUCAAAAUGAUUCAGCUCAUGGGGAUUUAGAACCUAAUGGUGAAAUAUUUAUAGAAAUGAAUGAUGAGACCAUUGACACUGAUAUUAACCACGGGGAUACGGAUGGCAAAGAAAUGGGAAUAUCUGAUACUCAGAAGACUGAAUGCAAAGAUUAUGGUAAUGAUGAAAUUAAGGAUGAUGAUGUUGGAUCAAGUGCGGAGCAUCCGGAAAUUGGUGAUACAGGAGGGUUUUCUUCGGUUGUAGAUGAAAGAAAUGUGAUUGAAACUCCUGGAAGCUCAUCCCUAUCAGAAUUUUUUUUUGCUACUGAGAUGCCGGCUGUGCAGACUACUGUAACUAAUUCAGAAGAAGAAAGCACGAAUGUUGACCAGUCUAAGGUUUCUAAUGAAGAAAGUCAAGGAAAUACUGAAAACUUAUCGGUUGUUGGGGAACCCAUAAAGAUACUUGAGAAUAAUACGAUAGAGAAACAAAUGAAUCAGAUCACCCAAGUACAGAAUAGUGAGUUUGUUUCCUCAUCUGGAAAAUCUGUUGCUAAUAGCACCACUCUUGUUCAUCCUGCUGGCCUCGGAUCUGCAGCUCCAUUAUUGAAACCUGCUCCCCGAGUAGUGCAGCAGGCGCGGGCGAAUUAUACUGUAUCUAAUACGCCGUCCCAAAAAGUGGAAGAUUCCUCAACUAUGGAGGCCGAGGAGUACGACGAGACUCGAGAAAAACUUCAAAUGAUUAGGGUUAGGUUUUUGCGGUUAGCUAAUAGGUUCGGGCAGACUCCCCACAAUGUUGUUGUAGCACAAGUUUUGUAUAGAUUAGGGCUGGCUGAACAGCUCAGAGGGAGGAAUGGGGGCCGUGUUGGCGCUUUUAGCUUUGAUCGUGCAAGUGCAAUGGCCGAGCAACUCGAAUCAGCGGGUCAAGAACCACUUGAUUUCUCUUGUACAAUAAUGGUUAUUGGAAAGACAGGAGUUGGAAAAAGUGCAACUAUCAAUUCUAUCUUUGAUGAAGUUAAAUUUAAUACUGAUGCUUUUAAUAUGGGAACAAAAAAGGUUCAGGAUGUUGUGGGAACAGUACAGGGCAUUAAAGUCCGAGUCAUUGAUACACCAGGACUUCUACCUUCCUGGUCAGACCAGCGACAUAAUGAGAAGAUCUUGAACUCUGUUAAGCGUUUUAUUAAAAAAUCACCACCGGAUAUUGUGCUGUAUCUUGAUAGAAUAGAUACGCCGAGCCGGGAUUUUAGUGAUAUGCCGCUUUUACGCACGAUUACUGACAUUUUUGGACCAUCCAUAUGGUUCAAUGCUAUCGUGGGAUUGACUCAUGCAGCAUCUGCACCACCUGAUGGCCCUAAUGGUACUCCUUCCAGUUAUGACAUGUUUGUCACACAGCGCUCUCAUGUUGUGCAGCAAGCCAUUCGUCAAGCAGCUGGUGAUAUGCGCCUCAUGAAUCCUGUAUCGUUGGUGGAGAACCACUCUGCAUGCAGAAUUGAUACAUCCGGCCAAAGAGUGUUGCCUAAUGGUCUGAUUUGGAAACCACAUCUGUUACUCUUAUCUUUUGCAUCAAAAGUUCUGGCUGAAGCAAAUGCUCUUCUUAAGUUACAAGAUAGUCCACCGGAAAAGCAUUACACAGCUCGCACAAGAGGGCCACCAUUACCAUAUCUUCUUUCAUCCCUUCUGCAGUCAAGACCGCCGUUAAAGUUGCCCGAGGAGCAAUUCAGUGACGACGACAGUCUCGAUGACGUUCUUGAUGAGCCAUCAGAUUCUGGUGAUGAAACAGACCCUGAUGACUUACCGCCAUUUAAACCUUUGACAAAGGCCCAGAUCAGAAACCUUUCUAGAGCUCAGAAGAAAGCAUAUCUGGAUGAGAUUGAGUACCGAGAAAAGCUUUUUAUGAAGAAACAACUAAAAGAUGAGAAAAAGCAACGAAAGAUAAAGAAGAAAAUGGCAGAAUCAUUAAAAGAUAUGCCAAGUGAUUAUAGUGAAAACGCCGAGGAAGAAAGUGGGGAUGCAGCUUCUGUUCCUAUUCCCAUGCCAGAUAUGUCCUUGCCCGCUUCCUUUGAUUCUGAGACUCCCACUCAUCGGUAUCGUUUUCUUGAUUCAUCCAACCAGUGGCUUGUAAGACCUGUCCUAGAAACUCAUGGUUGGGAUCAUGAUGUGGGUUAUGAAGGUUUAAAUGUAGAAAGAUUGUUUGUUCUUAAAAACAAGUUGCCCUUGUCUUUUAGUGGUCAAGUUACCAAGGAUAAAAAGGAUGCUAAUGUUCAGAUGGAAAUAGCCAGUUCAGCUAAGUAUGGAGAAGGGAAAGCAACUUCAUUAGGUUUUGAUAUGCAGACCGUUGGAAAAGACUUGGCUUAUACAUUACGUAGUGAGACAAAAUUUUGUAAUUUUAGGAGAAAUAAAGCAACUGCAGGUCUCUCAUUUACUCUCUUGGGUGAUGCGUUGUCAGCUGGAGUUAAAGUCGAAGACAAGUUGAUUGCUAAUAAGCAAUUUGAGGUUGUUAUUGCUGGCGGUGCAAUGACAGGGCGUGAUGAUGUUGCUUAUGGUGGCAGUUUGGAGGCCCGCUUGAGAGAUAAAAAUUACCCUCUAGGUCGCUCUUUAUCAACGCUUGGGCUUUCUGUCAUGGAUUGGCAUGGAGAUCUUGCUGUUGGGUGCAAUUUACAGUCACAAAUUCCCAUUGGACGGAAUACAAACCUUGUUGCGCGAGGCAAUUUGAACAAUCGCGGGUCUGGGCAGAUAAGCAUUCGGUUAAAUAGUUCAGAACAGCUUCAAAUUGCUUUGAUUGGUCUCAUCCCUCUACUUAAGAAGAUUGUUGGUUAUUCUCAGCAACUGCAGUUUGAACAAUGAUGGCGGUGUUAAAUCAUGGGAGCUGCAACACCUGCACAGUAAUAGUAUAUUUCAGGAACAAUUUUCAAGGAGCAUUUGAUUCGGUGGUGCCCAUGACAAUUCAAUUUUGGAUGUUAGCAGGACAUCCGAUAUAGGCAUAAUCGUUUACUUUUAUUCAGCAGGCCAUAGCUUGAGCUACAAAUGUUUAAAUUGGCUGGUUUUGGUAUCAUUUGAAAGUUAAAAGAUAGAGCUAUUAUUGAAUCAUCAUCCAAUUCCAACGAGUGCUAUGUCAAAAUAAGUCUCAUAUUAUAGUGAACUUGCCAUUAUAAUCCCAUGAGAUUCUCUCAUUUAAGACUUGUAGUACCUCUUUGAAAAGUUGUUUCAGAGAGAGCUUUAAAUAUGGACCGGAGAGACACGAAAUCAGGGGUCUAUAUAAGGAGGAUACAACACCAGACAAAAUAUGAAUUUUGGGAAUCAUUGUGUGAAUGUGGAAUAGUUUUCUCUUUUUUCUUUGUAGUUUUGUUUUUACCAGAGAUUGGAUGAUUGUUGUUAAAGCUUGUACAUGGAUGGAAGACUAGAGUCAAUCUAAGAGACUCAAGAAUUUUUGUUUGAAUUCUGGAUUCACUAUUCAUAAUUGUUCAUUUAUAUGCA